AUGAAGCAGUUCGUGCUGACCAAGAUGAGGGGCGCCAAGGUGGGCCCCGAGGUGCUGGAGGCCGUGGAGAGGAGCGAGAUGAGCGACGUGCUCGCCGCGCCGCUGCGGUUCCGCUCCCCGCUCUCGCUCCUGUUCGCCAGCAUCAGCAAGGGGAACGUGUGCGUCGCCGGCGACGCGCUCCACCCGACGACGCCGGACCUGGCGCAGGGCGCGUGCACGGCGCUCGAGGACGGCGUCGUCCUCGCCCGCUGCCUCGGCGACGCCAUCGUCGGCGCUGGCGACGGGGAGGAGAGGGAGAUGGUCGUGGCGGCCCUGCGCAGGUACGCCGGCAUGCGGCGGUGGAGGAGCGCGCAGGUGAUCGUGGCGUCCUAUGCGGUGGGGUUCGUGCAGGAGAGCGACCACGCCGUGGUGAGCUUUGUGCGGGACAAGCUGCUGUCCGGGGUGCUCGCCAAGACGCUGCUCAUGAUGCCGGACUGCGAUUGCGGGAAGCUCUGA
rnacentral:rRNA from 1 species